UCAUGGCUCAGAUUGAACGCUGGCGGCAGGCCUAACACAUGCAAGUCGAGCGGUAGAGAGAAGCUUGCUUCUCUUGAGAGCGGCGGACGGGUGAGUAAUGCCUAGGAAUCUGCCUGGUAGUGGGGGAUAACGUCCGGAAACGGACGCUAAUACCGCAUACGUCCUACGGGAGAAAGCAGGGGACCUUCGGGCCUUGCGCUAUCAGAUGAGCCUAGGUCGGAUUAGCUAGUUGGUGGGGUAAUGGCUCACCAAGGCGACGAUCCGUAACUGGUCUGAGAGGAUGAUCAGUCACACUGGAACUGAGACACGGUCCAGACUCCUACGGGAGGCAGCAGUGGGGAAUAUUGGACAAUGGGCGAAAGCCUGAUCCAGCCAUGCCGCGUGUGUGAAGAAGGUCUUCGGAUUGUAAAGCACUUUAAGUUGGGAGGAAGGGCAGUAAAUUAAUACUUUGCUGUUUUGACGUUACCGACAGAAUAAGCACCGGCUAACUCUGUGCCAGCAGCCGCGGUAAUACAGAGGGUGCAAGCGUUAAUCGGAAUUACUGGGCGUAAAGCGCGCGUAGGUGGUUCGUUAAGUUGGAUGUGAAAUCCCCGGGCUCAACCUGGGAACUGCAUUCAAAACUGACGAGCUAGAGUAUGGUAGAGGGUGGUGGAAUUUCCUGUGUAGCGGUGAAAUGCGUAGAUAUAGGAAGGAACACCAGUGGCGAAGGCGACCACC
rnacentral:rRNA from 1 species